UUAACUACAAAACAGAAGAAGUAAAUAGAAUAACAAUACUAUCAAUCAAACGACACAAGGAAAACACAAAUCAAUCAUUCAUUCAUCCUAAUAUCCAAGAACCAGCCCAGUACGGAUUGUUCAAGUGUAUAUGUGGACUGCGUGUAUGAUGUUGUCGGCGUGUUGUGCAUUAGUGUUGUCUGCGGCUGCCGGCAGGCUGUGCGUGCAGCUGGCCAGCGUGUGUGAGGUGCGUGUCUGUGGCUGCCGGCAGGCUGUGCGUGCGGCUUGCUUUGUUCAGGUACUGUUAAAUUCAGGAGAGGAAGAGAACUCGAGUAGUGCUGUCAAUUUCUGCAUGCAAUGUUGGUGAUUCAGAUUCAGCAUGGAUAAGUUUGUCAUGGUUUUAAUAAAUAGGCAUGAUUGAUUUUAGUUGCUAGAAGGAAAGGCAGUGAUACAAAUUUUAUAAUUAGGAUGUCGUUUUGCACAGUUCUAUCAAGUUAUUUGCAUUGUACAGUCACAAUUCUAAGCUUAAUCUUGUUAGCUAUGUAGCAUUGCAGAUCAGGCUCUUUUUUCCUACCAGAUCAAUACCUUUGGUCAGAUUUAGCUUAUUUGAUAGUAACAAAGAAUAAAUGGUGUGAAUAUAACAAAUAAUAUGCGGUGGUGACCUAUCAAAACUAUUAAUGUGCAUUUUGCAGUUCCGAUUUUUACAAUUUCUAUUCUUCCCUUCUGAUCCACAGUUUGCUCUUCUAACACAUAAUACUAUAUAUGCACAUGCAGCCCUUUCAGUUGAGCUGAGUCCUGGUAUCCUUGGAAACAUUUUUGAUGAAAUCCAGGUAAGUUCAGCAUGAUAAUCAUUCCAUUUCUGUUAAAUUUGCAGCACCCCCUAAAAACUAUUGCUAUUAGAUCUGAAGACGAUGCACCCUGGUAAUUUAAGCCAAAAAAGCUGGGUAAUGCGUUUGGCAUAUUUUAACUGUGAAUGAGGGACAUCUUGUUAAUCGUUAGCAGGCCCUCUAAAACAUCUCCUUUUUAUUAUUUGCUUUAGCUGUUGGAGAUGUUCUCACCGGUGAAGAUCUAUAUGCUUUUAUGAUGAUUUUGGGCAUACCAAGCUUAAAGAAGAUAUCUCACAAAUGCAUCGUGUCUAGCUUUUUAGCCUUACAAAUUAGAGGUUUUGAUUGAUACAUGCAUAUUAUUGGAAUAUUUGGUGCUUUGAAAAGACUAUGGGUGGAGUCAACAAACUGACUGAAUGUAUGAAAGAAAUCCAAGACUCUUUGUCAGCUUCUCUUGGAGCUUCUGCUAAUUUCAACAAGGUAAUAUUUAAGAUUUAUUACAAUCUUGUAUUUAAUUAUUUUAUCUGAAUCACUUACAUCUAUACUAUUACACACAAAAAACUUGCAUGAUUAAACAGAGGAGGAACUUAAAGAAUUGGAGUGAGCAGUGUGUGUCUGUUAGAUCGAUCUGUAAAUCUUAGUCUACUUGCUGAUUUCAUAGGACUAAUUCACUGGUGCACGGUGAAUGCUCUAGCAUACACAGGUGGAUUUUCCCAUAUAAUUGUAAUAUUAGUCAAGACGUGCAUUGCACGUGCACGCUUACUAGU